rnacentral:rRNA from 1 species
GGUCAUGGCUCAGGAUGAACGCUAGCUACAGGCUUAACACAUGCAAGUCGAGGGGAAACGAUAUUGGAAGCUUGCUUCCGAUAGGCGUCGACCGGCGCACGGGUGAGUAACGCGUAUCCAACCUGCCCACCACUUGGGGAUAACCUUGCGAAAGUAAGACUAAUACCCAAUGAUAUCUCUAGAGGACAUCUGAAAGAGAUUUAAAGAUUUAUCGGUGAUGGAUGGGGAUGCGU